rnacentral:lncRNA from 12 species
AUCAUAAAAACAUAAACUUUCUAAGGUGGUAAUCUUACUGAGAAAAUGUUUUUAUCUUGAACUUAUAGCCGUCAUAAAAGCUACUCUGGAAAUUCUUCAAUGGCCCAGCAUUCCACCUAUUUUAUAUACUCUGUGUCCCACAAAAAUCCAGUGAGUACUGAGGAGAUGGCCUGCUGCAUGCCCCCAAACCCUCUAAACUAUGACUCUUGUUAAUGAACUGCGAAAAUGUGCGGUGCAUUGCACCAGACACCACACACACCACCUGAGCCUCAGCAUUACCCUCCAAGGUAGGUACAAUUAAACUUAAUUGAUAUGUGAAGACAGUAAGGUUUAGAUAGCAGCAGUAACUU